UACAGAGGGGGCAAGCGUUGUUCGGAAUUACUGGGCGUAAAGGGCGCGUAGGCGGCCUGCUAAGUCGAACGUGAAAUCCCUGGGCUCAACCCAGGAACUGCGUCCGAUACUGGUUGGCUUGAAUCCGGGAGAGGGAUGUGGAAUUCCAGGUGUAGCGGUGAAAUGCGCAGAUAUCAGGAGGAACACCAAUUGCGAAGGCAGCUCGCUGGGACGUUACUGACGCUGAGACGCGAAAGCGUGGGGAGCAAACAGG
rnacentral:rRNA from 1 species